rnacentral:rRNA from 1 species
CCUACGGGAGGCAGCAGUGGGGAAUAUUGCGCAAUGGGCGAAAGCCUGACGCAGCGACGCCGCGUGAGGGAUGAAGGUCUUCGGAUCGUAAACCUCUGUCAGCAGGGAAGAACGGUCACUGUGCUAAUCAGCAGUGAAUUGACGGUACCUGCAAAGGAAGCACCGGCUAACUCCGUGCCAGCAGCCGCGGUAAUAAGGGGGGUGCGAGCGUUAAUCGGAAUUACUGGGCGUAAAGCGCUCGUAAGCGGGAUGUCAAGUCAAGGGUGAAAUCCCCGCGGUCAACGUGGGAACUGCCUUUGAAACCGGCAAAAUGGGGUGUGGGAGAGGAUAGGGGAAUUCCAGGUGUAGGAGGGAAAUACGG